rnacentral:rRNA from 1 species
GAUUUCUGGUUUAAUGCACCUGGCCCGCGGCCACUAGGCUUGUGAGUGCCGGCGCGCGUUUACCAUCCUUCUAGAAAACGAUUUUGCCAUUAACUUGGUGGGAUCGCGAUCUAGAUCUUUUACUUUGAAAAAAUUAGAGUGUUUAAAGCAGGCUUUUGCUAUGAAUACAUUAGCAUGGAAUUUCUAUUUUGUUGGUUUCUAUAACUGAAGUAAUGAUUGAUAGGGAUAGUUGGGGGUGCUAGUAUUGGCCGGCCAGAGGUGAAAUUCUUGGAUUCGGUCAAGACUAACUUAUGCGAAAGCAUU